UACGAAGGGGGCUAGCGUUGCUCGGAAUCACUGGGCGUAAAGGGUGCGUAGGCGGGUCUUAAGUCAGGGGUGAAAUCCUGGAGCUCAACUCCAGAACUGCCUUUGAUACUGAGGAUCUUGAGUUCGGGAGAGGUGAGUGGAACUGCGAGUGUAGAGGUGAAAUUCGUAGAUAUUCGCAAGAACACCAGUGGCGAAGGCGGCUCACUGGCCCGAUACUGACGCUGAGGCACGAAAGCG
rnacentral:rRNA from 1 species